ACCAGCUCUGCUUUCAACAGCUUCAUCACUGCGAUGGAUUAUUUAAUUUUGGUACACUUUCCCCACAAAUAUGCUUUGUUGUACUUUUGGAUGUACUUCUCCGUAUUCUGUAAGGACCUCUGCGGUUUUGGCAAAACAACAAACCACACUUCACCUGGAAAACACAGCCAGGACUCACUGUCAGAUGUCUGAAAAUUUACAGUACACGCCAGCAGGUCUCACCAUAGUCAACAUCAUUAAGGAUUUGGCUCUCUGACCUGAGAAGAGGCCCCAUAAACACACCUGACAAGGACCAGCCACUGUUGCCAGUGCACAACUGAGGACCUGACCAGCCUGCUGCCAUCUAUGAUACUAUAUAGUACCCGCGGAGGUGUCUGAAGACGUGGAGUACACUGCAGCAGGUAUCACAUGACCAAGGACUUGGACAACGUCUCUGUUUACAUCUAUAGUGUAUUACACAACUGAAGAUGUGCACAGUACGCUGCUGCCUGCAUCCUACCACCACAGAGGAUC